rnacentral:rRNA from 1 species
AGACCCGAAACCCGGUGAUCUAGCCAUGGGCAGGUUGAAGGUUGGGUAACACUAACUGGAGGACCGAACCGACUAAUGUUGAAAAAUUAGCGGAUGACCUGUGGCUGGGGGUGAAAGGCCAAUCAAACCGGGAGAUAGCUGGUUCUCCCCGAAAGCUAUUUAGGUAGCGCCUCGUGAAUUCAUCUCCGGGGGUAGAGCACUGUUUCGGCUAGGGGGCCAUCCCGGCUUACCAACCCGAUGCAAACUGCGAAUACCGGAGAAUGUUAUCACGGGAGACACACGGCGGGUGCUAACGUCCGUCGUGAAGAGGGAAACAACCCAGACCGCCAGCUAAGGUCCCAAAGUCAUGGUUAAGUGGGAAACGAUGUGGGAAGGCCCAGACAGCCAGGAUGUUGGCUUAGAAGCAGCCAUCAUUUAAAGAAAGCGUAAUAGCUCACUGGUCGAGUCGGCCUGCGCGGAAGAUGUAACGGGGCUAAACCAUGCACCGAAGCUGCGGCAGCGACGCUUAUGCGUUGUUGGGUAGGGGAGCGUUCUGUAAGCCUGUGAAGGUGGCCUGUGAGGGUUGCUGGAGGUAUCAGAAGUGCGAAUGCUGACAUAAGUAACGAUAAAGCGGGUGAAAAGCCCGCUCGCCGGAAGACCAAGGGUUCCUGUCCAACGUUAAUCGGGGCAGGGUGAGUCGACCCCUAAGGCGAGGCCGAAAGGCGUAGUCGAUGGGAAACAGGUUAAUAUUCCUGUACUUGGUGUUACUGCGAAGGGGGGACGGAGAAGGCUAUGUUGGCCGGGCGACGGUUGUCCCGGUUUAAGCGUGUAGGUGUGUGUUCCAGGUAAAUCCGGUUCACUUUAACACUGAGGCGUGAUGACGAGGCACUACGGUGCUGAAGCAACAAAUGCCCUGCUUCCAGGAAAAGCCUCUAAGCAUCAGGUAACAUCAAAUCGUACCCCAAACCGACACAGGUGGUCAGGUAGAGAAUACCAAGGCGCUUGAGAGAACUCGGGUGAAGGAACUAGGCAAAAUGGUGCCGUAACUUCGGGAGAAGGCACGCUGACACGUAGGUGAAGUGAUUUACUCAUGGAGCUGAAGUCAGUCGAAGAUACCAGCUGGCUGCAACUGUUUAUUAAAAACACAGCACUGUGCAAACACGAAAGUGGACGUAUACGGUGUGACGCCUGCCCGGUGCCGGAAGGUUAAUUGAUGGGGUCAGCGCAAGCGAAGCUCCUGAUCGAAGCCCCGGUAAACGGCGGCCGUAACUAUAACGGUCCUAAGGUAGCGAAAUUCCUUGUCGGGUAAGUUCCGACCUGCACGAAUGGCGUAAUGAUGGCCAGGCUGUCUCCACCCGAGACUCAGUGAAAUUGAACUCGCUGUGAAGAUGCAGUGUACCCGCGGCAAGACGGAAAGACCCCGUGAACCUUUACUAUAGCUUGACACUGAACAUUGAGCCUUGAUGUGUAGGAUAGGUGGGAGGCUUUGAAGUGUGGACGCCAGUCUGC